rnacentral:rRNA from 1 species
GAUGAACGCUGGCGGCGUGCCUAAUACAUGCAAGUCGAGCGAAUGGAUUAAGAGCUUGCUCUUAUGAAGUUAGCGGCGGACGGGUGAGUAACACGUGGGUAACCUGCCCAUAAGACUGGGAUAACUCCGGGAAACCGGGGCUAAUACCGGAUAACAUUUUGAACCGCAUGGUUCGAAAUUGAAAGGCGGCUUCGGCUGUCACUUAUGGAUGGACCCGCGUCGCAUUAGCUAGUUGGUGAGGUAACGGCUCACCAAGGCAACGAUGCGUAGCCGACCUGGGAGGGUGAUCGGCCACACAGGGACUGAGACACGGCCCAGACUCCUACGGGAGGCAGCAGUAUGGAAUCUUCCGCAAUGGACGAAAGUCUGACGGAGCAACGCCGCGUGAGUGAUGAAGGCUUUCGGGUCGUAAAACUCUGUUGUUAGGGAAGAACAAGUGCUAGUUGAAUAAGCUGGCACCUUGACGGUACCUAACCAGAAAGCCACGGCUAACUACGUGCCAGCCGCCGCCGUAA